GAUGAACGCUGGCGGCGUGCCUAAUACAUGCAAGUCGAGCGAAUGGAUUAAGAGCUUGCUCUUAUGAAGUUAGCGGCGGACGGGUGAGUAACACGUGAAUAACCUGCCCUUAAUUUUGGAAUAACCCAGGGAAACCUGGGCUAAUACCGGAUAAGUAAACCUGUGGCAUCACAUGGUUUUGGAAAGUUUUUCGAUUAAGGAUGGAUUCGCGGCCUAUCAGCUAGUUGGUGAGGUAACGGCUCACCAAGGCAACGAUGCGUAGCCGACCUGAGAGGGUGAUCGGCCACACUGGGACUGAGACACGGCCCAGACUCCUACGGGAGGCAGCAGUAGGGAAUCUUCCGCAAUGGACGAAAGUCUGACGGAGCAACGCCGCGUGAGUGAUGAAAGCUUUCGGGUCGUAAAACUCUGUUGUUAGGGAAGAACAAGUGCUAGUUGAAUAAGCUGGCACCUUGACGGUACCUAACCAGAAAGCCACGGCUAACUACGUGCCAGCCGCCGCCGUAA
rnacentral:rRNA from 1 species